GGGGUUGUGGCUCAGUGGUACAGCACUCGCCUAGCAUGUGUGACACCCUGGGUUAGAUCCUCAACACCACG
rnacentral:tRNA from 1 species